CCAGCGCUGCUUCCUGCUCGGUGCAGAUGGCAGCGCCAUUUUCAGAGCUAUAAACAGUAUCAUUGUCAUAGCUCUUUGAAUGGUACUGCCAUAUGUACUGGAAAAUCAGCUCUCAGG